UGCGGAGUGGAGAAACGGUAUCUCGUCGGGCUCAUAACCCGAAGGUAGGUGGUUCAAUUCCACCCUCCGCAACCA
rnacentral:tRNA from 1 species